rnacentral:lncRNA from 1 species
UUAACAUACAAAAUAAAGUAUUAAUUUAACAAAGUAUCAAUCAUAAAAUAUUCAUAUUAGCAUGGAUAAAAAGAGUAAGGAGGAUGCAACCUAUGAGUAUCAUAAAUGAGCAUUCAUAAGGCUAUUGGCCUCAUCAUAAAUGACAAAGAUCUCUUCAAGAUGUUGAUUUUAUGGAUGUUGAUCUUCAAAACCAAAGCCCAUGACAUGUCGUGAUCUUUGCCUUAAAACUUUGUCACAAUUUUCACUUAGUCAUGACCACAACACUCUCCCCUACUGGUGGCAUUAGAGCUUUAGUAUCUUUUAUUAUAAAUGCAAAAGAACGAACAAAACAAAACAAAAAUUUAUGAGAAUUUAAGAAAUUCAAAACCAAAACCUGAAAAAAAAAAUGCAAAAUUGAUAUUAGUAGCAUGUAAUAUCACAUGUAAUUAAAAUUAUUUUUGUCUCUCCAUGUUCAUUUACAAGUCUAUGUUAUG